AGCGAGUCUGUGUCCCAUACGGCCAUCAACUGACUUGAUUGCACUGAGCUGAGUCUGAACUCCAGUUAUUAUUCCGUAGCGUGUCAGAGCUGUCAGGGGGCCUAUUCUGAAAAAAAAUUUUGUGGCCCCCAGAGCAAUCAAAUAAAGAUUAAAGAGGGUAACCGUGUGACGGUCAAUAUUUGCUAUCGGCUGCGAGUGAUGUCUGCGCUGCGACAAAAUACCCUAGAAUCCAGAUUUUUGUCCUGACUGAUAUAUCUGACAUCUCAUUUACAUUAUGAAAAAUUAGGAUUUCCAUUUUACGCAUAGAACGGAAUCCUAUUUAUCGACAGUACUAUUAUAUAUAUUAUCAAAUCUGUGAUUAUAAUUAUUAUACUAUAUAGAUAAUAUGAUCGCAUAGUGAUUUGUGAUGGACAUAGACCCUGGCAAUAUCAUAGCUUUUAAUUUUUACUAUAAAACCAAUUACCGCCAAAAUAGUAUGGAUUUAUUACCUCUUAUAAAAGCAGUCGAUGAAACAGUAUUUUUCUUACAUCAUAAUCUAAAACUUUCAAAAAAAGAAAGUUUUGCAGUAUCUGAAGGAACUAGAAUUACGGUUGACACAUGGAAAAUAACAGUAAAAUGAUACUUCAAAACAAAGAUUUGAAUUCAUGUUAUUUCAUAGUAGUACAAAUUAUAUUAAUAAUGGAACAAAACAAUUAUAUUUUUAUAAGUUAUCAGAAAAAUUUUGAUUUCUUUUUAAAAUACUUAAUUAUGAAAGAUAUCACGAACCAGCAAAAGUAUAUAUCAGAAUAUUGCAGCUUUAGCUGAUUUUAUCUUUUAAAUGCCAGAAUUACAGAAUCCUAUAAUAGAUGAUUCAAUAGAUGGAUACAAUGUUUCAAGUUUAUAUUCAAAUUUAAGCAGUGCUUUGCAGUGCAUAAAUGUGAAAUCUUUUACUAUUUCAUUUUUUAUAAUUAUUGUGAUAUUACUAUACAUAAUUUUAUAAAACAAGAUGAAUUGAUCUUACACGAAGAAUUCAUCUUACAUGAAGGAUUUAUGAAUCAUAUACGCAUAAAAUGCAAGUGUUAGAAGAAAAGUUACUUGGAGGCAGAGAGAUGACAAUACUGUAAUAUCAAUGACUGUGUCAGCAAUCAAAAUUAGAUCUUAAUUUUUGAACAAUUUCGUUAUAUUCCUGUUGCUCAUAAACACAUGAACAAAACUAAUUAGUGCAAUAUUUUUACUGAAUUGGAAUAAUGUUACUGAAACAGUUUUCCAAAUUCUUAUGUAUCCAUGUCAGAAUGAUUCUAAUAAAGGUAAUGGCUUUAUAUUUAGCUUUGAUAUGCGUUAUAUAACAAGAGUAUUGAGUAUGUAUACUAUGAUUAUACAAAUUUAUUCAUUUUUAUGUUCAUCACAAGUUAUUUAAGGAAAACUUACUUUUUAGAUAGUUAUAUAUAUUGAAUCAUGUAUAUGUACAGAUUAUUUAAAAUUCUGAAUUUUUUACUAAACUGAUUGAUUAAAACAAGUUUAAGCAAUAUAGCUCCAAAUAUCUUUACAAGCAUUUGUAUCUUUAAGAAGUGACAUCACAUUAUGGGGAUUGACACAAAUCAAAUAAUUUCUAGAUCAUUUUAGAACUAGCUAUCAUAGUGUCAUUAGCUUUCUGAAAGGUAAAAUUGUACAACAACGAGAUAAUAAAUUACUUCAAUACCGCAGAAAAUGGUCGAAUAUGCAAAUCUUAUAGAUCAUAUGCUGAAUUGUUUAACGAUAAUUGAUUAGUUAUAUCUGUAGUUGAACAAGAAACCAACUUUAAAUUCUAAUUUAUAUUUAAUGCCAUAUUAUUGUUUUUAUGUCAUGUAUUCCAUGCCUUUUAUGUUCAUUAUACGUUUUAAAUGGGCAUGCUUAUAACAAAUGACGUUAUGAAAACCGAAUUGGAUAUUUUUAAAACAUAAGAAUAUAUAAACAAUUGUAUUUUUUAGUAUAUAUACUUAAAAUUUUGUAAUACUUUGACUUUAUUGGGUAAGUUAAGCAUAGUAAGUUAAUAACUAAGUAAUUUUUAUAUUAAGUUUGAACGGAAAAUUAUGAAAAAUGUGUCAUCAUUUACAACAUUUUAUUGUUAUAAUAUUGCUUUUAAAUUAUUUGUAGAUUUUUUCAUUUUUGUAUAAAUUUUUCG